rnacentral:rRNA from 1 species
GACGAACGCUGGCGGCGUGCUUAACACAUGCAAGUCGAACGGAAAGGCCCUGCUUUUGUGGGGUGCUCGAGUGGCGAACGGGUGAGUAACACGUGAGUAACCUGCCCUUGACUUUGGGAUAACUUCAGGAAACUGGGGCUAAUACCUGCUAGGAGCUCCUGCUGCAUGGUGGGGGUUGGAAAGUUUCGGCGGUUGGGGAUGGACUCGCGGCUUAUCAGCUUGUUGGUGGGGUAGUGGCUUACCAAGGCUUUGACGGGUAGCCGGCCUGAGAGGGUGACCGGCCACAUUGGGACUGAGAUACGGCCCAGACUCCUACGGGAGGCAGCAGUGGGGAAUAUUGCACAAUGGGCGGAAGCCUGAUGCAGCAACGCCGCGUGCGGGAUGACGGCCUUCGGGUUGUAAACCGCUUUCGCCUGUGACGAAGCGUGAGUGACGGUAAUGGGUAAAGAAGCACCGGCUAACUACGUG